rnacentral:lncRNA from 1 species
GAUUUUAACUCUGUCUGGGGCUGCUUGUCAUCUGUAUGAAGUUCUCCAGAGGCAUCUUAGCCCAUUCUACAAUUCAGGAUAACCCGAAAUGGGAAAAAAAAAGAAGAAGAAGAAUCCUGAAAGCAUCAUUUGAGACCCUGGAUCCAGUCUUUACAAUAUUCUCUACUUUAUUUGCGAUUCACCAUUCAAGAUUCAAACAGACAGGAGUUUAUACACAGAGAGAAGACAGUGAGGGGAAUAGGACACACAAAACGCUGCUGGAUGAGAUCGAUUAUGGUGAUCAUACUUCUACAGAUGUACUGUCUCCAAACUCCAGCAAUGUUCCAGAUGUUGCUCCUGAGUCCUUGAAUCAGCCUGAGUCCUUGAAUAAGACAGCAGAGCAGAGCCUCCAGCCAACACACAACAGAUGCAUAUUAUAG